rnacentral:rRNA from 1 species
AUUGAACGCUGGCGGCAGGCUUAACACAUGCAAGUCGAGCGGGGGAAGGUAGCUUGCUACCGGACCUAGCGGCGGACGGGUGAGUAAUGCUUAGGAAUCUGCCUAUUAGUGGGGGACAACAUCUCGAAAGGGAUGCUAAUACCGCAUACGUCCUACGGGAGAAAGCAGGGGAUCACUUGUGACCUUGCGCUAAUAGAUUAGCCUACGUCGGAUUAGCUAGUUGGUGGGGUAAAGGCCUACCAAGGCGACGAUCUGUAGCGGGUCUGAGAGGAUGAUCCGCCACACUGGGACUGAGACACGGCCCAGACUCCUACGGGAGGCAGCAGUGGGGAAUAUUGGACAAUGGGGGGAACCCUGAUCCAGCCAUGCCGCGUGUGUGAAGAAGGCCUUGUGGUUGUAAAGCACUUUAAGCGAGGAGGAGGCUCUUUUGGUUAAUACCCAAGAUGAGUGGACGUUACUCGCAGAAUAAGCACCGGCUAACUCUGUGCCAGCCGCCGCAGUAA